rnacentral:rRNA from 1 species
UACAGAGGUGGCAAGCGUUGUUCGGAAUUACUGGGCGUAAAGGGCGCGUAGGCGGUUUGCCAAGUCCCGUGUGAAAGCCCUCGGCUCAACCGAGGAACGGCGCGGGAAACUAGCAGGCUUGAGUUCGGGAGAGGGAAGCGGAAUUCCGGGUGUAGCGGUGAAAUGCGCAGAUAUCCGGAGGAACACCGGUGGCGAAGGCGGCUUCCUGGACCGACACUGACGCUGAGGCGCGAAAGCUAGGGGAGCAAACGGG